rnacentral:lncRNA from 1 species
ACAAAUGAGAAUGCAAGAAAUACAAUAGUAAAUACACAUGUAAAUAGCAUUUUAACAAUAAAAGACAAAUUUUAAAAUUAAUUAAAGCUAAUUUAAUUUCACCCAUAAAUCCCAACAAUACUUAUCCCAUGUUGUAUAAAUGAUAAAAAGGAGAAUAUUUAUGACAAUACGUUACAAAUAUGGCGAAAUAAUUGAGAAAAUACAAAGUUAUAGAUAAAACCCAAUUCUUGAAGCUUAGCCUUGACUUUUUCAAAUAUUUCUCCACCUUCCUUGGAUGUAUUCUCCUUGUGCUCUUGGUUUUAUUCCAAAAAAUUACAAGUAAAUCAAAAGAAAAAGGAAAGGAAAAAAAAAGGAAAAGAGAAAGAAGAAAAUAAAAAAGGAAGAAGAAUGCUCAAGAAUUGGCUGAAAAUGGCUUAUGAAAGCCC